rnacentral:rRNA from 1 species
GUCCACGCCCUAAACCAUGAUUACUCGAUGUGUGCGAUACACUGCACGCGUCUGAGCGAAAGCAUUAAGUAAUCCACCUGGGAAGUACGACCGCAAGGUUGAAACUCAAAGGAAUUGACGGGGGCCCGCACAAGCGGAGGAGCAUGUGGUUUAAUUCGAUGCUACGCGAGGAACCUUACCUGGGCUUGAAAGUUAGUGAAUGACGUAGAAACAUGUCAGUCAGCAAUGACACGAAACUAGGUGCUGCAUGGCUGUCGU